rnacentral:rRNA from 1 species
UAGGGAAUAUUGGACAAUGGGUGAGAGCCUGAUCCAGCUAUGCCGCGUGCAGGAAGAAGGCGUUAUGCGUUGUAAACUGCUUUUUGCCAGGGGAUAAAAUGACCGUGCGCGGUUAAUUGAAGGUACCUGGUGAAUAAGCCACGGCUAACUACGUGCCAGCAGCCGCGGUAAUACGUAGGUGGCAAGCGUUGUCCGGAUUUAUUGGGUUUAAAGGGUGCGUAGGUGGCCCUGUAAGUCAGUGGUGAAAUAUCUCAGCUUAACUGAGAGGGUGCCAUUGAUACUGCAGGGCUUGAGUACAGAUGAGGUAGGCGGAAUUGACGGUGUAGCGGUGAAAUGCAUAGAUAUCGUCAAGAACACCGAUAGCGAAGGCAGCUUACCAAGCUGUAACUGACACUGAGGCACGAAAGUGUGGGGAGCAAACAGGAUUAGAUACCCUUGUAGUCCCUGAGCGGGCUGGCAAGGCGCAU